UGAUCCUGGCUCAGAACGUACGCUGGCGGCACGCCUAACACAUGCAAGUCGAACGAAGUAGCAAUACUUAGUGGCAGACGGGUGAGUAACAUGUGGGUAUCUGCCCUUUGGCCUGGAAUAACACGAGGAAACUUGUGCUAAUACCGGAUAAGUCUUUACGGAGAAAGCUUUAUGCACCAUUGGAUGAGCCCGCACUUGAUUAGUUUGUUGGUGGGGUAAUGGCCUACCAAGACUGUGAUCAAUAGCUGAUUUGAGAGGAUGAUCAGCCACAUUGGGACUGAGACACGGCCCAAACUCCUACGGGAGGCAGCAGUGGGGAAUCUUGCACAAUGGAGGAAACUCUGAUGCAGCGAUGCCGCGUGAGUGAAGAAGGCCCUUGGGUUGUAAAGCUCUUUCGUCGGGGAAGAAAAUGACUGUACCCGAAUAAGAAGGUCCGGCUAACUUCGUGCCAGCAGCCGCGGUAAUACGAAGGGACCUAGCGUAGUUCGGAAUUACUGGGCUUAAAGAGUUCGUAGGUGGUUGAAAAAGUUGGUGGUGAAAUCCCAGAGCUUAACUCUGGAACUGCCAUCAAAACUUUUCAGCUAGAGUUUGAUAGAGGAAAGCAGAAUUUCUAGUGUAGAGGUGAAAUUCGUAGAUAUUAGAAAGAAUACCAAUUGCGAAGGCAGCUUUCUGGAUCAUUACUGACACUGAGGAACGAAAGCAUGGGUAGCGAAGAGGAUUAGAUACCCUCGUAGUCCAUGCCGUAAACGAUGUGUGUUAGACGUUGGAAAUUUAUUUUCAGUGUCGCAGCGAAAGCGAUAAACACACCGCCUGGGGAGUACGACCGCAAGGUUAAAACUCAAAUGAAUUGACGGGGACCCGCACAAGUAGCGGAGCAUGUGGUUUAAUUCGAAGAUACGCGCAGAACCUUACCAACACUUGACAUGUUCGUCGCGACUUUAAGAGAUUAAAGUUUUCGGUUCGGCCGGACGAAACACAGGUGCUGCAUGGCUGUCGUCAGCUCGUGUCGUGAGAUGUUGGGUUAAGUCCCGCAACGAGCGCAACCCUCACUUUUAGUUGCCAUCAUUUAGUUGGGCACUCUGAAAGAACUGCCAGUGAUAAGCUGGAGGAAGGUGGGGGUGACGUCAAGUCCUCAUGGCCCUUACGUGUUGGGCUACACACGUGCUACAAUGGUAUCUACAACAGGAAGCAAAACAGCGAUGUUAAGCAAAUCCUUAAAAGAUACCUCAGUUCGGAUUGCACUCUGCAACUCGAGUGCAUGAAGCUGGAAUUACUAGUAAUCGUGGAUCAGCGUGCCACGGUGAAUGCGUUCCCGGGUCUUGUACACACCGCCCGUCACACCAUGGGAGUUGGUUCUACCUUAAGGCAAGGUUUAAUACCCUUGACCACGGUAUAGUCAGCGACUGGGGUGAAGUCGUAACAAGGUAACC
rnacentral:rRNA from 1 species